rnacentral:SRP_RNA from 1 species
GCCGGGUGUGGUGGCGCAUGCCUGUAAUCCCAGCUACUCAGGAGGCUGAGGCAGGAGAAUUGCUUGAACUCAGGAGGUGGAGGUUGCAGUGAGCCGAGAUAAUGUCACUGUACUCCAGCCUGGGUGACAGAGCAAGACUCUGUCUCAG